GUCAUUCAGCCCACUACUUUCCCCGUAGCUCUUAAGGGUCUCGAUGACUCACUCGGGCCAUAGACGUCAUCUUAUUCAGCGCAGGUGCCUUCAUAUUGCCACAGCUGCAUAGAGGAGAGAGAGAGAGAGAGAGAGAGAGAGAGAGAGGAGACGAGUAGACUGAAUCUGCAAAAAAGGACCAUCACAGAGGAAGAAAUGGAAAUGUCAAGCUCAUAUCUUGCAACUAUGUCUUCUUUUGUUUGUGGCUUAUUGCUUUGUGAACAAUGAGACGAAACACGUUGUGUAUGUUUGUGAAUGUUCCGAUCCAGCUGAUGAACCAGCUAUUGUGCCCACAGGCACAAAGGACAUCAUGCAGCACAAGAUGAUUAGGACAGCGGGUGACUGUCGGCUGAAGGGGUUUGGUGGAUUUCUGACGCUGGAUGGAGAGCGCAUUAAUCUUUCUUAGGGAAAAGCUCUUCUUCCAGUCGGUCUGGGACACGAACGAGCAUUUAAGGUCAAGCUGUUUUGGAUCUGAGUUACAAUUUCAGCUGAGGACAGUGAAUGCUAACUUCUGGAUACCAGCUUAAAACGGCAUGUUUUCAAUUCUAUUACAUUGAUUAAUGUGCAUGAUUCAUGCGUCAUUGGAAUAAAACGAGUCAUGAGAAUUACAAAACCUAAAGUACAAUUAUAUGAGCUUUUGAAGGUGACCAGAAAUACAUACUAGCUAAAUUAGGGCUGUGAUAUUCAUUUCCGUAUUAACAAUUGAACCCAGAGAUCAUUAACAGAGGAGUCUGCCCUUCGUUAAAGAAGAAAACUAUGUCUUAAUUCCACCCUUCAUAAUAUUUGUCUCUGCGUGUCCUCUCAGCGGACCAACAAUAAUGGGCUUUACUGUGCAUAACCAGUCUGCUGUACUCAAUUCCCUCUGCUCUUGUCUCAGAAGCCAUCUCUCUCCGGAGAUGGGUAAGGGCUCCCAUGUGUCCUGCCACUCAUCUAAUUGAGGCCCUGUGAAGAGUGGGAGCCGUUAGUCAGAUCGUCUGUCUCCGGAACCAACCAAGACGAGUCAGCCUGGAGACAGCAGGAGGACAAAGAGAGGCGGAGAUGACGAAAGAGACAUUGUAAGCAGUAGUACAUUAUCACGAACAAUAAAAGCAAAUGUGUUAUUACUUUCAGAGUUGAGGAUGUUUGUGUUGUGUCCAAAUUGAUCCCAUUUCCCG
ensembl:lncRNA